rnacentral:rRNA from 1 species
UACGUAGGGCGCAAGCGUUAUUCGGAAUUAUUGGGCGUAAAGGGCGCGUAGGCGGCUUUUCAAGUGACGGGUGAAAUCCCUCGGCUUAACCGAGGAACUGCCUGCCAGACUGUGAGGCUUGAGACCGGGAGAGGUGAGUGGAAUUCCCAGUGUAGCGGUGAAAUGCGUAGAUAUUGGGAGGAACACCAGUGGCGAAGGCGGCUCACUGGACCGGAACUGACGCUGAGGCGCGACAGCGUGGGGAGCGAACUGG